rnacentral:rRNA from 1 species
UGAGGAAUAUUGGUCAAUGGGCGAGAGCCUGAACCAGCCAAGUAGCGUGAAGGAUGACUGCCCUACGGGUUGUAAACUUCUUUUAUAAGGGAAUAAAGUUCUCUACGUGUAGAGUUUUGUAUGUACCUUAUGAAUAAGCAUCGGCUAACUCCGUGCCAGCAGCCGCGGUAAUACGGAGGAUGCGAGCGUUAUCCGGAUUUAUUGGGUUUAAAGGGAGCGUAGACGGCCGUUUAAGUCAGCUGUGAAAUGGUGCGGCUCAACCGUAGCACUGCAGUUGAAACUGGACGGCUUGAGUGCAGUUGAGGCAGGCGGAAUUCGUGGUGUAGCGGUGAAAUGCUUAGAUAUCACGAAGAACCCCGAUUGCGAAGGCAGCCUGCUAAGCUGCAACUGACGUUGAGGCUCGAAAGUGUGGGUAUCAAACAGG